GGGGAGCAAUACAUACAGGCACCCCAACCUUUCUGAUUUCAGUGGGACAUUCCCAAUGUUCAUGUUUCUUCUCUCUAAAUAGUGUCCUUGGGUCUCACAUUUGGGGACACUGUGAACUGUCCCCCACAAGCAUUUAGCCACAUUUGCGCUAUGUUCAUGCCACUAAGACUGCCCUAAAUGGGUUGCCUUUGCAAGAUUGGCAGGCAUUCACACCAGGCUGACUUACCAGUAACACGGGGUAUACUCUCUUUGGGUGGAACCUGUCAUGUGAUUGCAUCACUGCCCCG